rnacentral:rRNA from 1 species
AUUGAACGCUGGCGGCAGGCCUAACACAUGCAAGUCGAACGCGUCGCGGACGGGUGAGUAAUGUCUGGGAAACUGCCUGAUGGAGGGGGAUCACCUCGGGAAACGGUAGCUAAUCCCGCAUACCCUGAUGUGUGCCCAUAUGGGAUUAGCUUGUUGGAGGGGUAACGGCUCACCAAGGCGACGAUCCCUAGCUGGUCUGAGAGGAUGACCAGCCACACUGGGACUGAGACACGGCCCAGACUCCUACGGGAGGCAGCAGUGGGGAAUAUUGCACAAUGGGCGCAAGCCUGAUGCAGCCAUGCCGCGUGUAUGAAGAAGGCCUUAGGGUUGUAAAGUACUUUCAGCGGGGAGGCGUUACCGACAGAAGAAGCACCGGCUAACUCCGUGCCAGCAGCCGCGGUAAUAC